GUAGGGAAUCUUCGGCAAUGGGGGCAACCCUGACCGAGCAACGCCGCGUGAGUGAAGAAGGUUUUCGGAUCGUAAAGCUCUGUUGUAAGAGAAGAACGUGUGUGAGAGUGGAAAGUUCACACAGUGACGGUAACUUACCAGAAAGGGACGGCUAACUACGUGCCAGCAGCCGCGGUAAUACGUAGGUCCCGAGCGUUGUCCGGAUUUAUUGGGCGUAAAGCGAGCGCAGGCGGUUUAAUAAGUCUGAAGUUAAAGGCAGUGGCUUAACCAUUGUUCGCUUUGGAAACUGUUAAACUUGAGUGCAGAAGGGGAGAGUGGAAUUCCAUGUGUAGCGGUGAAAUGCGUAGAUAUAUGGAGGAACACCGGUGGCGAAAGCGGCUCUCUGGUCUGUAACUGACGCUGAGGCUCGAAAGCGUGGGGAGCAAACAGGAUUAGAAACCCCAGUAGUCCC
rnacentral:rRNA from 1 species